GGAUGUAUAGCUUAGUUGGGUUUAAAGCAAUAAACUUUUAAUUUAUAGAUCUUAGGUUCAAGUCCUAAUACAUUCA
rnacentral:tRNA from 1 species